UCCGUGUGUCCCUGUCUGUCCGUGUGUCCCUGUCUGUCCGUGUGUCCCUGUCUGUCCGUGAGUCCCUGUCUGUCCGUGAGUCCGUGUGUCCCUGUCUGUCCCUGUCUGUCCGUGAGUCCCUGUCUGUCUGUGAGUCCCUGUCUGUCUGUGAGUCCCUGUCUGUCUGUGAGUCCGUGUGUCCCUGUCUGUCCGUGUGUCCCUGUCUGUCCGUGUGUCCCUGUCUGUCCGUGAGUCCCUGUCUGUCCGUGAGUCACUGUCCGUGUGUCCCUGACACUGUCUGUGUGUCCCUGUCUGUCUGUGUGUCCCUGUCUGUCUGUGUGUCCCUGUCUGUCAUCUCAAAUUGUUCUCUCAACCUGUGUCCACCUACAUUGUAAACUUUCAUUCAUAGGCCAGGUUGUAGCAACCUCAUGAAGGGUACAGGGAACAUUCUAGUAUCAUGUAGUAAACCUAAACCUAUCAUUGAACUGGGUGAAUAUGAAUGACAGUAGCCUAAACCUAUCACUGUUACAUUAAGCUGGGUGAAUGGAAUAUGAAUGACAGUAACCUAAACCUAUCACUGUUACAUUGAGCUGGGUGAAUAUGAAUGACAGUCAUCCAAUAGGCUGUAAUAAGUAAGGCCGUGCUCAUAAAGAAUAAAGAACCGUCCUCCCUCAUCUUAAACGACACUGAUCGCAACCGGCAUAUCAUUGUUUAGUUUCUUUGGCCUUCAGAGGCUGAGCUACAACCUCCUGUAGCCGAGGAGACAAACGAUUGACUUUGCUUGGGAAGUAAUCUAAUUCUUGUCACUAUCAAUUGAUUGAUUAAGCGAUUCACUUUCUGUACAACAGAAGAUGUUUAAACCCAGACAGGUUUUAAAGGGAAACACUUGUGACCUUCUCUUGUUGAGUUAAGCCAUGGAAGAAUAGUAGCCAGUAGUUAAAGUUGUCAAUGUUUCUGUGUCGGUAGGCCUACUCUGUCUGGGGUGGAAUGGUAGGCCUACUCUGUCUGGGGUGGAAAGGUAGGACCUACUCUGUCUGGGGUGGAAAGGUAGGACCUACUCUGUCUGGCGUGGAAUGGUAGGCCUACUCUGUCUGGGGUGGAAUGGUAGGCCUACUCUGUCCAGGUCUACUCUGUCUGGGGUGGAAAGGUAGGCCUACUCUGUCUGGGGUGGAAUGGUAGGCCUACUCUGUCUGGGGUGGAAUGGUAGGCCUACUCUGUCUGGGGUGGAAUGGUAGACCUACUCUGUCUGGGGUGGAAUGGUAGACCUACUCUGUCUGGGGUGGAAAGGUAGGUCCUACUCUGUCUGGGGUGGAAAGGUAGGUCCUACUCUGUCUGGGGUGGAAAGGUAGGUCCUACUCUGUCUGGGGUGGAAAGGUAGGUCCUACUCUGUCUGGGGUGGAAAGGUAGGUCCUACUCUGUCUGGGGUGGAAAGGUAGGUCCUACUCUGUCUGGGGUGGAAAGGUAGGCAUACUCUGUCUGGGGUGGAAAGGUAGGCAUACUCUGUCUGGGGUGGAAAGGUAGGCCUAACUUUUGAAAGUACCAUGCUCAGAUUCCUAAUGGCAUCUCAGACUUAAAUAUUUCCAAAUGGGGACAGUUUUGACAAUGUGAUUUUCUGGAUUUUUUUUCUCAUUUUGUCUGUCAUAGUUGAAGUGUACCUAUGAUGAAAAUUACAGGCCUCUCUCAUCUUUUUAAGUGGGAGAACUUGCACAAUUGGUGGCUGACUAAAUACUUUUUUGCCCCACUGUAGGUGUUCCUUUUGUCCAGGUGGGAAAGAGCAGUGUGGGGAGGCGAUUGAGAUUGUGUCAUCUGUGGAUCUGUUGGGGCGGCAUGUGAAUUGAAGUGGGUCUAGGGUUUCUCGGCAUGAUGGUGUUGAUGUGAGCCAUGACCAGCCUUUCAAAGCACUUCAUGGAUGUCGGCGUGACCGCUAUGGGGCGGUAGUCAUUUAGACAGGUUACCUUCACUUCCUUGGGCACAGGGACUAUGGUGGUCUGUUUGAAACAUGUAUGUAUUACAGACUCAGGGACAGGUUGAACAUUUCAGUAAACACACUUGCCAGUUGGUCCAUGCAUGCUUUGAUUGCACAUCCUGGUAAUCCGUCUGGCCCCGCGGCUUUGUGUAUGUUGACCUGUUUAAUGGCCUUGCUCACAUCAGCUACAGAGAGCGUGAUCACACAGUCGUCUGGAACAGCUGGUGCUCUCAUGCAUGCUUCAGUGUUGCUUGACUCGAAGCAAGAAUAAAAAGAAUUUUGCUCGUCUGGUAGGCUCGCGUCACUGGGAAGCUCUUGGCUGGAUUUCCAAUGCUGGAGACUCAAGGCUAUAAUUGCUUCAACAAAGUAAAGGGUCUGAAUACUUACGUAUGUAAAUGUGCAAAGUUGUAUUUUAUUUUAUACACUUGCAAAAAAAAUCUAAACUGUUUUUUGCUUUGUCAUUAUGGGGUAUUGUGUGUGUGUGUAGAUUGAUGAGGGGGGGAAAACUAUUUAAUCAGUUUUAGGAUAAGGCUGUAACGUAACCAAAUGUGGAAAAAGUCAAGGGGUCUGAAUACUUUCUGUGUGCUCUGGUAGCUCUCUAAGGUAUACGAUAACUAACGUGACAAGGGCAACAGAUGACGCGACACUCAAUUUCGAAAGUGCACCUUGUACGUUCUACUUUCAAGAGUAAGUUUAAAGCC
ensembl:lncRNA